CCUACUGGAGGCAGCAGUGGGGAAUAUUGGGCAAUGGAGGCAACUCUGACCCAGCAACGCCGCGUGAAUGAUGAAGGUCUUCGGAUUGUAAAGUUCUUUUCUAAGGGCAGAAGAAAGUGACGGUACCUUAGGAAUAAGCCUCGGCUAACUACGUGCCAGCAGCCGCGGUAAUACGUAGGAGGCAAGCGUUAUCCGGAAUGACUGGGCGUAAAGGUUGCGUAGGUGGUUCAGCAAGUUAGUAGAGUAACGCCGGGGCUCAACCUCGGCACUACUACUAAAACUGUUGGACUUGAGUGCAGGGGGGGCAACUGGAAUUCCUAGUGUAGCGGUGGAAUGCGUAGAUAUUAGGAGGAACACCAGUGGCGAAGGCGAGUUGCUGGACUGUAACUGACACUGAGGCACGAAAGCGUGGGGAGCAAACAGGAUUAGAUACCCCAGUAGUC
rnacentral:rRNA from 1 species